AUUGAACGCUGGCGGCACGCUUUACACAUGCAAGUCGAACGGUAACAGGCCGCAAGGUGCUGACGAGUGGCGAACGGGUGAGUAAUGCAUCGGAACGUGCCUAGUCGUGGGGGAUAACGCAGCGAAAGCUGUGCUAAUACCGCAUACGAUCUGUGGAUGAAAGCGGGGGACCGUAAGGCCUCGCGCGAUUGGAGCGGCCGAUGUCAGAUUAGGUAGUUGGUGGGGUAAAGGCUCACCAAGCCGACGAUCUGUAGCUGGUCUGAGAGGACGACCAGCCACACUGGGACUGAGACACGGCCCAGACUCCUACGGGAGGCAGCAGUGGGGAAUUUUGGACAAUGGGCGCAAGCCUGAUCCAGCAAUGCCGCGUGCAGGAAGAAGGCCUUCGGGUUGUAAACUGCUUUUGUACGGAGCGAAAAGGCUCUCUCUAAUACAGGGGGUUCAUGACGGUACCGUAAGAAUAAGCACCGGCUAACUACGUGCCAGCCGCCGCAGUAACAC
rnacentral:rRNA from 1 species